CGGAGUUAUCUCCAUCACCAGCUCAGAGAAUGAAUAUCAAGUGCUUAUAAUAAUUCCUGAACCAGCAGUGCAACGGGUAUUGUUUCGGUGUUCAAUCAUUAUAAAAAACUUUAUACAACAAAAGCAUGGGAUUUCAUAAUUUUGAUGGAGUAAAUGUAUACCGGAGGAGCUUACUGCAUGCUGGAAUGGGUGAAGGGGCAUUGGUGCGGCUCCACUAAUUGCUGGCACUGUGAAGUCCUUGGGUGUACUGCCUUAUGUCGGGCGAGCGACAUUGACCG